UACGUAGGGUCCAAGCGUUAAUCGGAAUUACUGGGCGUAAAGCGUGCGCAGGCGGUUCGUUAAGUCAGCUGUGAAAGCCCCGGGCUCAACCUGGGAAUGGCGGUUGAAACUGGCGAACUUGAAUCUGGCAGAGGGGGGUGGAAUUCCACGUGUAGCAGUGAAAUGCGUAGAGAUGUGGAGGAACACCGAUGGCGAAGGCAGCCUUCUGGGCCAACACUGACGCUCAUGCACGAAAGCGUGGGGAGCAAACAGG
rnacentral:rRNA from 1 species